rnacentral:rRNA from 1 species
ACGAACGUUGGCGGCGUGGAUUAGGCAUGCAAGUCGAACGAAUCCCCAGCAAUGGGGGGAAGUGGCGAAAGGGGCAGUAAGGCGUGGGUAACCUACCCCAAGGACCGGGAUAGCCAUUCUAACGAGUGGGUAAUACCGGGCGCGGUGAGCGGGAGGCAUCUUCUGCUCAUGGAAUGAAUUUCGCCUUGGGAGGGGCUCACGUAGUAUUAGCUAGUUGGUGAGGUAACGGCUCACCAAGGCUGAGAUGCUUAGCGGGUGUGAGAGCACGACCCGCGCCACUGGCACUGAGACACUGGCCAGACUCCUACGGGAGGCUGCAGUCGAGGAUCUUCGGCAAUGGGCGCAAGCCUGACCGAGCGACGCCGCGUGUGCGAUGAAGGCCUUCGGGUUGUAAAGCACUGUCGAGGGGAAGGAAGCCGUAAGGUUGACCGACCCUUGGAGGAAGCACGGGCUAAGUUCGU